UAAAUGAGGUCUCGUUGAUGUUGGAC
rnacentral:piRNA from 1 species